rnacentral:siRNA from 1 species
AGCCCAAAGGCCCUACAUCUUCCA